CGACUCGCUCCGCCUCCCCCUAUAGGCGACGCAUGGCUGAGAUAAGUUGAUAUGGCCAGGAUGUAGUUGGCGGCGUGCCUAAGGUAUGCAAGUCGAACGAUUUAACUGCGUCGCAAGACAAGGUUAAAGUAGUGGCGAACGGCUGAGUAACGCGUGGGAAUCUACCUUUAAGUCAAGGAUAGUCCACCGAAAGGUGGGGUAAUACUGGAUAUGAUCUGCGGAUCAAAGUCGAAAGACGCUUAGAGAUGAGCCUGCGUCCUAUCAGGUUGUUGGCAGGGUAAAAGCCUACCAAGCCUUUGACGGGUAGCUGGUCUGAGAGGAUGACCAGCCAGAAUGGGACUGAGACACGGCCCAUACUCCUACGGGAGGCAGCAAUCAGGAAUUUUGCGCAAUGGACGAAAGUCUGACGCAGCAACGCCGCGUGAAGGAUGAAGGCUCUCGGGUCGUAAACUUCUUUUAUUGGGGAACAAGUUCUGAAGUGUACCCAACGAAUAAGGUACUGCAAACUACGUGCCAGAAGCAUCGGUGAUACGUAGGUACCAAACAUUAUCCGGAUUUAUUGGGCGUAAAGAGAUGCGUAGGCGUCUUGGUAAGUCUCUUGUUAAAUCUACCGGCUCAACCGGUAAACCGCGGGAGAAACUAUCAAGAUUGAGUUGGCUCGGGGGAGACGGAAUUCUCGGUGUAGCAGUGAAAUGCGUUGAUAUCGAGAAGAACACCAAUAGCGAAGGCAGUCUUCUAGGGUUUAACUGACACUAAGGCUCGAAAGCGUGGGGAGCAAAACGGAUUAGAUACCCGUGUAGUCCACGCUGUAAACUAUCUCUGCUAGAUGUCGGGAUUUGUCUUGUAUUGUCCUUCGGGAUGGUUCGAGGCGAUUUCGGUGUCGCAGCUAACGNCGUUAAGCAGAGUCGCCUGGGGAGUACGCACGCCAGGGUAACCUCAAAUGAUUGCCUAACCUCUAGAGUCUCCUACUAGUUCAAUCUUUUCUGUUUCUUUCAU
rnacentral:rRNA from 1 species